AGAGUUUGAUCAUGGCUCAGGACGAACGCUGGCGGCGUGCCUAACACAUGCAAGUCGAACGGGACUGGGGGCAACUCCAGUUCAGUGGCGGACGGGUGCGUAACACGUGAGGAACAUGACUUUCGGUGGGGGAUAGCCGGCCCAACGGCCGGGUAAUCCCGCGUACGACCUCUCGGGGACAUCCCCGGUUGGUGAAAGCAGCAAUGCGCCGAAAGAGUGCCUCGCGGCCUAUCAGCUAGUUGGUGGGGUAACGGCUCACCAAGGCGACGACGGGUAGCUGGUCUGAGAGGAUGGCCAGCCACAUUGGGACUGAGACACGGCCCAGACUCCUACGGGAGGCAGCAGUGGGGAAUAUUGCGCAAUGGGCGAAAGCCUGACGCAGCGACGCCGCGUGUGGGAUGACGGCCUUCGGGUUGUAAACCACUGUCGGGAGGGACGAAUGCCCCGCAAGGGGAGUGACGGUACCUCCAAAGGAAGCACCGGCUAACUCCGUGCCAGCAGCCGCGGUAAUACGGAGGGUGCGAGCGUUGUCCGGAAUCACUGGGCGUAAAGGGCGCGUAGGCGGCCUGAUAAGUAGGGGGUGAAAUCCUGCGGCUUAACCGCAGGGCUGCCUUCUAAACUGUCGGGCUCGAGCACAGUAGAGGCAGGUGGAAUUCCCGGUGUAGCGGUGGAAUGCGUAGAGAUCGGGAAGAACAUCAGUGGCGAAGGCGGCCUGCUGGGCUGUUGCUGACGCU
rnacentral:rRNA from 1 species